GUAGAUGACAUACCAAAUCAGAAAUUCUGAAAUCUGAUUGGCCAACAUGCGUGGUCACACACCAUAGUGCCACGUCCUUAACCUGGAAGCAUCUGGACUCUCUUCCACAAAGUAUAAAUCCGUCAUUCCAUCACGGUCACGGUUAUCUCUGAUAAACUAACUUUCCUCUGCAUAAAAAAAAACAACUAACGUUCCUAUUUCCGAUUUCAAAUUCCUUCCGGCGACACAUUCGGAUCCCAAUAUGAAGACCCGUUUUCCCUCCACACGGGUCAUCUUCGUGGCCUCACUCUGUUUCCUUGCAAGCUUCGAAUUAUUGCAAGCCAAAACCAUCGACCCCUACAAGGUUCUUGGGGUUGAUAAAAAUGCAAGUCAGCGGGAAAUUCAGAAGGCUUUUAACAAGCUCUCUCUUCAGUAUCACCCUGACAAGAACAAAUCCAAGGGUGCAUAAGAGAAGUUUUCUCAGAUCAAUAAUGUGAGAUUCUCUUGUGGAGCCGCCGAGCCGACGUAUGGAUCAUUUUGGGACAAAGUUGUGUUAGGUUAAUCAACUCCUCCAUAGCUGGUUCAUAAUUAUUUUUGUUGAAUUGAGGAUGUAAAUCACAAAUUUAAUUAUUUGUAUGAACAAAUUUACUUU